CCGCGACAGCCACGGCUAGUGUGUCUUUCGCGCUCCAGCAGCCUGCAGGCCGGGCUGCCGCCGGCUUAUUAGUCAAAAUGCAGCGUGGUGCCUUCGUGGGGCCUCCGGCUCCCGCUCUUCACCUGCAGUUGCUGCCUGCCCUCAAGUUUCGAGGCGACCCUGUGACCUGAAGACUGGUGUUCAUCCCUGUUGGAUGAAGAGUGAUGGCUCACAUUCAAGGGGAAGGUAGGUGACCGUUGGCCUGUGACAACGACCUUAUGGAACGUCUGACCUCUGUCCAAGCCCAGGUUACCAACCAGCCCAGUAUCCAGAGGUGGCGUUAGAUCAUCUGAGAGAUCUGAUCACCAAAUGGUACAGUGACCUUACCAGACAGACCAGUAUCCUCAACCUUGUAGGAGAUGCUAAGAGAUCAGAAAAAUGCUGGAAUGGAAGGCUACUCUGCAUCCUCCAGAGGCAUUCACACAAUCAUGGAGAUCUACAGCUGAUCAAGCUCAGGGCCUCACAGCACUGAGUACUCCCCCACUGCUCUCCUAGUUCAUGAAUUUGGGAGGGAGGGGGUGUGUUUGGUUCCCUAAAGUAAAAUUAAAGGGACUUUGGAAUUUGAAAAUAAACUCUUGACUUGUGU